rnacentral:rRNA from 1 species
AGAGUUUGAUCCUGGCUCAGAAUCAACGCUGGCGGCGUGCCUAACACAUGCAAGUCGAACGAGAAAGUGGAGCAAUCCAUGAGUAAAGUGGCGACCGGGUGAGUAACACGUGACUAACCUACCCUAAAGUGGGGGAUAACCCCGGGAAACCGGGGCUAAUACCGCAUAACAUCGCGAGGGGAAGAUCCUUGUGAUCAAAGGAGCAAUUCGCUGAAGGAGGGGGUCGCGGCUGAUUAGCUAGUUGGUGAGGUAACGGCCCACCAAGGCAAAGAUCAGUAUCCGGCCUGAGAGGGCGCACGGACACACUGGAACUGAAACACGGUCCAGACUCCUACGGGAGGCAGCAGUGGGGAAUUUUGCGCAAUGGGGGAAACCCUGACGCAGCAACGCCGCGUGGAGGAUGAAGUCCCUUGGGAUGUAAACUCCUUUCGAUCGGGACGAUUAUGACGGUACCGGAAGAAGAAGCACCGGCUAACUCUGUGCCAGCCGCCGCGGUAAUAC